GAUGAACGCUGACAGAAUGCUUAACACAUGCAAGUCGAUGGGGAAGUGGUGCUUGCACCAUGGUAACCAUGGCGGACGGGUGAGUAACGCGUAAGGAACUUGCCUGCGGGACUGGGAUAACAGCAGGAAACUGCUGAUAAUACCGGAUAAGGUCAUUAAGCUGCAUAGCUUAGUGAUGAAAGGAGACGCCUGCGGAGAGCCUUGCGUCCUAUUAGCUAGUUGGAGGGGUAACGGCCCACCAAGGCGAAGAUAGGUAGCCGGCCUGAGAGGGUGGACGGCCACAAGGGGACUGAGAUACGGCCCUUACUCCUACGGGAGGCAGCAGUGGGGAAUAUUGGACAAUGGGGGCAACCCUGAUCCGGCAAUUCUGUGUGCACGAAGACGGUUUUCGGAUUGUAAAGUGCUUUCAGCAGGGAAGAAGGAAGUGACGGUACCUGCAGAAGAAGCGACGGCUAAAUACGUG
rnacentral:rRNA from 1 species